GUGUCAGCAGCCGCGGUAAUACGGAGGGUGCAAGCGUUGCUCGGAAUUAUUGGGCGUAAAGCGCACGCAGGCGGCGAGGUAAGUCAGUUGUGAAACUCCCAGGCUUAACUUGGGAACGGCAGCUGAUACUGCCUUGCUUGAGUACGGAAGAGGGGAGCGGAAUUCCCAGUGUAGAGGUGAAAUUCGUAGAUAUUGGGAGGAACACCGGUGGCGAAGGCGGCUCCCUGGUCCGAUACUGACGCUCAUGUGCGAAAGCGUGGGGAGCAAACAGGAUUAGAUACCCCGGUAGUCC
rnacentral:rRNA from 1 species